CUAGCUAAGCCUCUCGACCCUCUCUCUCGAAGUCCUCUCUCAAUUAGAUUUGGAUUGUUGUCCUUCACCGUCCUCCUCCACCUAGGUUUGUCUGCAGUGCCCCUAAUACACUUUCUCUCUCCUCCAUCUCUCUCUGAAAAAUUAGGAUUAGGGUUUUUUGCUGAAUCCUCAAAUUGUGCUGAAGAGAUUGGCGGUGGUUCGGGUUCGGCGAACUAAAGACCAUCUCGCUUCAAUUUGCCAUCAACAUGUCAUCAGUCCAUCGUUUCCUUCUCUCUUUCACCGGUUAUUCUCUUAGCUGGGCCGAUUAAGGUUCAGACUCUCGAGGAAGCUCUCAUGUCAGGAAUCGUUUUGGGUUUGCAUUUCACCAAAGCUCUUCAGCGAUGGAGGACAUUGAAUGCCCCAGAUCCACUUUCUCUCUCCACCUCGCCUUCAAACUAGGGUCAAUUGAAGAGAUGCAGAAGACGAAGGUGUCCGAGAGCGGAGGCCAACAUGCUGUUCUGCGCUGACGAGGCAGCGCUGUGCUUCGAUGUCCUUAACCUCUACAUGAUGACAGUGAGGGAUGCUCUAAACUCUGCCUUCGAUGAGGAAAUGUAUGCCGAUCUGAAAGUGUUUUUGAUGGGUGAAGAGGUUGGGAAGUAUCAAUGUGCUUACAAGAUAACUGAGGACUUCUGGAUAAGUAUGGCCUUGAGAGGGUUCUCGAUACCUCAAUCAUAGAGAACAGGGGUCCUUUGGCAUUUCAAUUGGUCACGUUUUUGCAUCUGUUGUGAAGGGAAUUAUGGGAAUGUAGGUGAAGCAUGAAUGCACAAAAUUCAAAGAAUUUUGUCUAGCAGGAAAUGCUGAAGGAUGCUUCAGGGCUUUCCAGAGAGCGAAACAUGUGCAUGAGGCAUUAAAGAGGCAGUUUGAAACUCAUUUCUAGGUACCUCUAGACUCUUUCUUUCUUUCUGGGCAACUGUAUGCUGUGUUCGAUUAAUUAAGUAACUCUUGGGGCUAUUUUUCUUUCAUAUAUUUGUAGUUGAGAAGACAAGCUAGAAUGGCGAUUGCAUCAGGUGCCCAUAUAAUAGGGAGAAACUAGUUGAGAACCAUGUAUUUUGUCAAUCUCGUGAACUCCUAGCUACGUAAUAUAUGUUUUACUAUAGAGGGCAGCCUAUUCAAGUUUAGCUGCUGCAAUAUGCAGAUACUGAGUUUUGGUUAGCCAUAUAUAUAGAAGUAAUAUUGUUCGAAAAAUCUACUUAUCUGGGGCCUGUUGUUCUUUUUUCUACCUACUUAUUUAGAUACAGUAAUAUCGAGUCCAAAUUAACUUUGUUGUUGGUUAGUUUAGGCCAUGGCCUGUUUAAACUACAAUUUUGCAAAGGAGAGAUCAGAAUCAAAAUUUGAAGUAUCAUUACUUAUAGUGAUUGGGGGCAUUGGUAAUGAUGAUACACUUCAGUCUUUGUUGGUUUCAUUGCUGACCAUAGUUCUUGCUUCAUAUCUGGUUCUCUGUGUUCUCAUUUCUCCCUGUUAUAUGGGCACCAUAGUUCUUGCUUUAUAUGCUAGGAGUUGUUAUCUAGGUGAGUUGUGAUUGGAUAUGGACUCCCUUAUGUCAAUUAUGGUGUUCUAGUUUAGCUAAGGCACACUGGUUGGUUUUGUUGGCAAUCUUUUUCUGUUUGGUUGUAGCUGAAGAUCUCUGUAGGCACACUGGUACUCGUCUAUUCGAAGUGGUAAGAUUCCUUCCAGAGUAUGGGGGUGCAAUACCAAAGAAAUCAGAAGGGGGCACAUUUCAGGUUGAAUCAAAAGUAGUCUGUCGAGCUCCUAGUCAAUCAAGACAUCGGUUACAUACAGAUGAUGAAUCUGAUAUCCCAUCUUCACCAAUGCAAUAUCAUGACCAGUCUGAUAAUGUUGGUUCUACGCCAAGAAAUUCACCAGUUGGUCAUGACCAUACACUUCUGCAUAGAGAAAUACAUGAACAUGGUAAGCCAAGCAUGCACACCCUUGAGUGGGAAAAAAAUUUGGUUGCCGAGGAUGAUGACCUUCUGAGCUAUUUGGCUAUGAGGAUUCUGUUAAAGGUGGGAGCAACUGUGAAGCUUUGUGAAAAUGGAGGAGAAGCUCCAGAUGUAAUUCGCAUAGAUCUACUCAACUAAGGGAAACAUGAAUAUACUAAUGGACUGUCAGAUGCCAGAAAUGGAUGGAUUUGAGGCAACAAGGGAGAUAAGGAAAGUGGAGAAAACUCACCAUGUCCGCAUUCCGAUCAUUGCAUUAACAGCUCAUACACCAGGCGAGGAAACAAGAAGGAUGUUGGAGGCUGGCAUGGAUCACUAUUUGAGCAAACCCUUGGAAAAGGGUUGUCUACUUGAAACAAUGGGUAGACUGGUGGGGAAGUAGUAGAAUUGUUGGAAGCUGCAGUCAUGAUUGUCAGAGAACAAAGGAAGAGAAAAAAACAAACAGAGCUUUUCAUUGCCAUUGCUAUGUAUAAUGCACAGAUAGGCAGGAAAGGCAGGAGUUCAGUUCUGUGGAAGAAUUUAGCAGGUAUUCCUCCCCAACCUAGCUCUACGGAGUGUGGCUACUUCAUGAUGAGAUACAUGCGAGAUAUAAUUGAAGAUAAGGAUCUAUCGUUUGUUCACAAGUGGGAGAGGAGAAGCAACUACAUGUAUAGCCAAGAGGACAUUGAUGUAAUCCGGAAUGAGUGGGCAAAAUUUGUCGUCAAGUCAUAUAUGUAGGAGCCAUCAAGUAAUUGGUUGAAGGAGAGGGCAGUUUGUUCAGUUAUAUAUGUUGAUACAUAUAUUUACAUGCAGUAUAUGUGCAUGUUUUUGGAACUUACAUGUUGUAUCAGCUUUUGCUUUCUUUCAAUGUAAUUAGUUAGAAUGCCUUCUUUGGUUUUAUGGAAUGGAUGGAUAUAUGAAUGUUACCUCUUUUGGUAUAUUAGAUUGUUGAAUUAGAGUAUUUCAAUGCCUAAAUCUUAUAUAUUGUGCAUUA